rnacentral:rRNA from 1 species
UACGUAGGGUGCAAGCGUUGUCCGGAAUUAUUGGGCGUAAAGGGCUCGUAGGCGGUCCAUCACGUCGGGAGUGAAAAGCUGGGGCUUAACCCCAGGCCUGCUUCCGAUACGGGUGGACUAGAGGUAGGCAGGGGAGAACGGAAUUCCUGGUGUAGCGGUGAAAUGCGCAGAUAUCAGGAGGAACACCGGUGGCGAAGGCGGGUCUCUGGGCCGUAACUGACGCUGAGGAGCGCAAGCGUGGGGAGCGAACAGG